GACGAACGCUGGCGGCGUGCUUAACACAUGCAAGUCGAACGGAAAGGCCCUGCGUUUGUGGGGUGCUCGGGUGGCGAACGGGUGAGUGACACGUGAGUAACCUGCCCUUGACUUUGGGAUAACUUCAGGAAACUGGGGCUAAUACCGGAUAGGAGCUCCUGCUGCAUGGUGGGGGGUGGAAAGUUUCGGCGGUUGGGGAUGGACUCGCGGAUGAUCAGCUUGUUGGUAGGGUAGUGGCUUACCAAGGCUUUGACGGGUAGCCGGCCUGAGAGGGUGACCGGCCACAUUGGGACUACGAUACGGCCCAGACUCCUACGGUAGGCAGCAGUGGGGAAUAUUGCCCAAUGGGCGCAAGCCUGAUGCAGCAACGCCGCGUGCGGGAUGACGGCCUUCGGGUUGUAAACCGCUUUCGCCUGUGACGAAGCGUGAGUGACGGUAAUGGGUAAAGAAGCACCGGCUAACUACGUG
rnacentral:rRNA from 1 species